ACAUCACCUUGAAACAGCGGUUCCCAUAUGAUCACCAAAGUUAAGCAACAUUGAGCCUUGCCAGUACUUAGAUGGGUGACCCUUUUGGAAUACCAAGUGCUGUAAG